GCCUACAGGACAACUACUGGUUCGGCACCACCUUAUCUUAAAUCGCUAAUGCGGACAUAGGUACCAGCCAGAUCCCUACGCUCUGCAAACGAACGACGUCUUGUGGUGCCAUCCCAUAAAGUGCCUUGACCAGGCGGCAGUGACCUGUACCGUCUAGCUUCCUCAUAACCUCAGGUCUUUAGGGAGAUCCUUACCUUUCAUGUGCCCUUCCGCCAAUGUCACAGCAAAGAAAACAGAAAGAUUUUCACCCUGCCUUACCCCAUCACCGGUGACAUGCGCUGAAGUUUGUGCUGCUCUUGACAGACUGGAGUAGGUUGAGGACAUCCUGACCUUUCCUUGAGGGUGGAAUCACAGGGACGAGGCAGGAGAAGGAAAGCCCAGCUGACAGCCAUAAAGAAAGAGUCCAGAGCCCCCCAGCCGUCAGUGGAGACAUCACCAUCUGGAGCGAGGCCUGCACAACAUGCUGGGCCUGUCAAAAAGACGAAGCUCUUUUCACAGCACACUUUUGUCCAUCCUCUCUCUCCUCCGGUGGAGCUCUCACUAUCCU